UACGGGGGGAGCAAGCGUUGUUCGGAUUUACUGGGCGUAAAGGGCGCGUAGGCGGCCACUGCAAGUCAGUUGUGAAAUCUCCGGGCUUAACCCGGAAAGGUCAACUGAUACUGCAGGGCUAGAGUGCAGAAGGGGCAACUGGAAUUCUCGGUGUAGCGGUGAAAUGCGUAGAUAUCGAGAGGAAUACCUGCGGCGAAGGCGGGUUGCUGGGCUGACACUGACGCUGAUGUGCGAAAGCCAGGGGAGCGAAGC
rnacentral:rRNA from 1 species